GUUCCCACAUCGCGUAUUGUGUUUAUAUUUAGUAACGAUGACCACAGUCAUUUCUUAGAAAGAAUGACAUAUUUUAUGAGUACGUGGAAUAGUAGUUUUACAUUUUAGGCCACAGUAUAGAAUGAAACGAAGAAAAAGAAAGAGUCAAACGAAAAUAUUUAAAACUGAAGUUAACAUUGAUGUUGACAGAUCAAUAUAGUACUUUAGAAAAACGCUAGCAAAAUGCCACGUGUAAUUGGAAAACUUCCUGGUGACCAAUAUAACACUAUAGUGGCUAAUUACACCGAUCUUAUAGACGACAUUAAACAUGACCCUGUUGGUCUUGCUCAUUCACUGUUUCAAAGGUGUGUCUUCGAUGAGGAUGAUGUAGAAGUAAUAAAGAGAGAAGAACGAUCUGCUUCUGGUAGUAAACCAGAUGCUGCUGCUAAGCUGUUGGAUAUUGUUCUAUAUUCUGGUGAUGCAGCUUAUGGACAAUUUAUUGAUGCACUAGAGGAACAUAGAUAUUCCGUAACAGUUAGACGAUUAAAAUCAAACAAAGAAUUAAAAGAAGUCCAUGAACCGAAGGAUGGGAAUCCCGUUGAUAGUUUCUGGGAGAGUGGGGUGGUUACAGAAACACUACACGUCAACGUGGAAAAGGGGAGACCACCCGAGGACAUUUACAGCAAGAUGCGUGCCAAUUAUGUUUUCCUUACCGAUGAAAUUAAAAAAGAUUAUAGGAAUGUAAUGUGUAGUUUACUUGAUUAUAAAGCCAUCAAUGAGGAUGAUGUGGAACAGAUACAGAGAGAAGCGACGAGACAAGAUGGUAAAAAAGCAGCCGCCAGGGAAAUGUUAGAUAUUCUUUUAAACCGUGGUGAAACGGGUUAUAAGAAAUUCAUUGAAGCACUUUAUGCAAACAAAUGUUUCAAUGCUGUAUUCAGAUUGGAACCAGGUUUUAAUGCAGAUGGGUCAGACGAACCAGGUAUUACUACAGAUAAGAAAUUAUUGACAGGAUCACAGGUAAAAGGAGUGUAGACGGUUCCCGAUUGAGGACAUUAAAAGCUAUGGUUAACUUGUAGAAUGUAGCCUACAGAAUUAAAAGUUCACAAAAAAAACUUUUUUCUAAAAUCAUCCUCCGAAUCGACCCAAGCCAAUCCAUAUAUUCAGACAGGUUAAAAUGUAUUACAUAAAACUAAUUCUAAGUCAAUGGUUAGCUUAUCCAUGUGCCAGGACACAGACUAAUAGUUAUCCCCGCAUGUCAUUCCAACGAUCUUAAUUGUUAUGUCUAGAAAGAGCCCAUCUGAUAACAAGCAGUUACCAUGCAAGAUACGCCCAUAUGUACUAGAAAUAGGGGAAAUCAAUAGGACUGAUCCGCUCAGUGUCCCAAUGCUUCCCAUCGAAUUUGAUGCGCACCGAAAUCAAACUUUUCCAAGAUCUUUUGAAAAUGACAAUGAAAUGAGAUGGGGUUUAACGUCUUACUGUUUUUUUCCGACUGGGUCAAUGAAGACAGGCAUACGACAUACAGUGUGCUAUGCUAUGAGGGAAAUUUGCCCGGACAGCGGAACUACGGCUUAAUCUUAUAACGAAUUCCAAGGGAUCUUUUACGUGCACGCCUAUGUAAUCACGGAAAAAAACGAAACGAAAUGUAGAUCUGUAUUAUAAUCAGACUGUUUGAUUCGUCAUCAAAAACAGGGUUAGUGUUAAAUGACAAGGCCAGCUCAAUUUUUCGUCAUAGGAUAGAGAGAGAGAGAAAUGGGGUUUAACGUCCACUCGACACAAACUAGGUCAUUUCGGGACUAACAUAUGGUUUAAUUUUAUUUCAAUAAUUUGCUUGCGCGUAGGGGUCUUUAGCAGUGGCAGGAAACCGGAGGACCCAGAGAAAACCCACGGGAAUUCGAAACCACGCCAGUUGACUCAAUGACAGGCCUUAUGAUACAUCGCGCACGUGCUAACCAUUCGGCCAUCCACCCCCACCCACCCCUUCGUCAUAGGUAGUCACGAGAUGUAAACAGGAAUAGCGCUAAUCCCAGCCCUAACCCUUGACCUAGCCCCUGUGCUUACCCUAAAAUUAUCCUACAAUCUCGCCAACAAUCAAGUGCCCUAGCCUUAUUUACAUCUCAGCUACCUUGACAAAAAUUGAACCGGCCUUAACAAAUAGAUUUAGCCUCAUAAACAGAUAAUAUUGUGUCAUGUUUCCCAGGCCCCAAUGUCAUUCCGGUUGUAUACAUUUAUAUCAGUCACUAAAGAAAUUUAUAACACAUGGUAAAAUACUAGAUAUAAUAAGGAAAAAAACAAUUUAUAACACGUGGUAAAUACUACAUACAAUAAGAAAAAUAACAAUGUAUAACAUGUGGUAAAUACUAACUAUCAUACGAAAAGAAUAUUUUUUUAACACGUGGUAAAUACUAGAUACAAUAAGAAAAGAACCAUUUAUAACACGUGGUAAAUACUACAUAUAAUAAGAAAAAGAACUAUGUAUAACAUGUGGUAAAAACUAAAUAUCAUACGAAAAGAAUAAUUUUUAACACGUGGUAAAUACUAGAUACAAUAUAAAAUAAGAACAAUUUAUAACACGUGGUAAAUACUAGAUACAAUAAGAAAAAAAUGCGAUUUAUAACACGUGGUAAAUACUAGAUACAAUGAGAAAAAAAAACAAUUUAUAACAAGUGGUAAAUACUAGAUACAAUAAGAAAAAGAACAAUGUAUAACAUGUGGUAAAACAAUCUGGUAUAUACUGUAUACAUUAAGAUAAUAAGAUAAAAACAAAAUCUGGUAAAUGCCAGAUACAACAAUUUAUAUAGAUAGAUAAACGAUGCUCAGUAAACAUUAAUUUAAAUCAAUUAAUGGAUGAAUGAUAAAUCCCAUGAACUAUUUAUCUAUUUAUGAAAUUAAAAACACAGUGCCAACAUUGGAGACACUAUUAUUAUUAUUAUUAUUAUUAUUAUUACGGCAUAUUUAUAGUGCGCCCUUUCAUAUAACAUGUUCAGGGGCACUUUACAAAGUGACAAUGUAAAUCAUACAUAAACUACAAGGUUAUGGACAUGUUAACG